UACGGGGGGGGCAAGCGUUGUUCGGAAUUACUGGGCGUAAUGGGCUCGUAGGUGGCCAACUAAGUCAGACGUGAAAUCCCUCAGCUUAACUGGGGAACUGCGUCUGAUACUGGAUGGCUUGAGUUUGGGAGAGGGAUGCGGAAUUCCAGGUGUAGCGGUGAAAUGCGUAGAUAUCUGGAGGAACACCGGUGGCGAAGGCGGCAUCCUGGACCAACACUGACACUGAGGAGCGAAAGCCAGGGGAGCAAACGGG
rnacentral:rRNA from 1 species